UACAGAGGUCUCGAGCGUUAGGCGGAAUCACUGGGCUUAAAGCGUGUGUAGGCGGAUCGGUAAGUACCUUGUGAAAUCCCACAGCUUAACUGUGGAACUGCUUGGUAUACUGCCAGUCUUGAGCCACUUAGGGGCUACCGGAACAAAUGGUGGAGCGGUGAAAUGCGUAGAUAUCAAGAGGAACACCUGAGGUGAAGACGGGUUGCUGGGCUGAUACUGACGCUGAGGCGCGAAAGCGUGGGGAGCAAACAGG
rnacentral:rRNA from 1 species